GAGACUCUGUGCGCGUGCAUAUCAAUAAGCGGAGGAAAAGAAACUAACUAGGAUUCCCUCAGUAACGGCGAGUGAAGCGGGAAGAGCUCAAAUUUGAAAUCUUCAAGGUUCUACCUUGACGAAUUGUAGUUUAAAGAAGUGUUUUCUGUUGGAGUUUUGGUAAAAGUUCUUUGGAAUAGGACAUCAUAGAGGGUGAGAAUCCCGUAUUUGACCAUUAUUUCCAACUUUGUGAUACACUUUCAAAGAGUCGGAUUGUUUGGGAAUGCAGUCCAAAAUGGGUGGUAAAUUUCAUCUAAAGCUAAAUACUGGCGAGAGACCGAUAGCGAACAAGUACCGUGAGGGAAAGAUGAAAAGAACUUUGAAAAGAGAGUUAAACAGUACGUGAAAUUGUCAAAAGGGAAGCGUUUGACACCAGUGUUGUUUUCUCGAAAAUCAAUUAAAAUGAUGGGAUUUUGUGUUGUAUUGACUUUAUCAGCUUUCUGCACUUUUUUCUUAUCUUUUUUAAUGCACUUUUCGUUUAACAAGUCAACAUCAAUUUCUUUCGUUGUAAAAGAGUCAUUGGAAGGUGGCUUUCUUCUUCGGAGAAAGUGUUUAUAGCCUUUGGCUUCUGCAAUCGGAGAGAUUGAGGUCUGCAGCGUAGAUCCUUCGGGGUUAGAUACAUUUGUGCUAAGCUAUAGUUCUUUAUAGACAACUUGUUGACUAUAAUCAAUCCUGUAACUUACUCGCUUAUGCUAUUUUACCUACGCUUAGGAUGUUGACAGCAGUAUAGACUGU
rnacentral:rRNA from 1 species